AAUGAAGCUACAGACGUCAUUGCCUCCUGUUGGACGUGAGAUGUGUCCAAGCAUCAGCCCCGGUAGCUUAAGGGAAGAAAAAAAAAAAAACCAAGAACAACAACAACAAAAAAAACCCAACAAACCAAACCCAAACCCCAAGUCCUGAACUUCCCGGCAGCCGGCAGGCAGCUUCCUCGGAGCCGGCGAGCCGGUGCAUCCCGGCCGAGGGAGGCCGAGCGGGCGGGAUGAGCGGCCCCCGCCGUGCCCCGGCCCAGGUGCCGCGCGCGCUCCGCUUGCAGCCCGCUCCCGGGAGGGGGAGAGCGCCAGAAAUAGCUCCCGCCAACCUGCCGCUUCCUUGCUGCAGCCUCCGACCCACGGCAGAGGCGCUCCCCGCCGGGGUGCUGCAGUCCCGGGCCCGGGCACCAGCCGCCCGCCGCUCCGGCCACAAGAGGUCUUGUUCCACCGGGAAGAUGCCCUGCUGCGGGGACGCUGCCCUCUGCCCCUCUCCUCGGGCCACUUGUCCUGCGAGGCCACCUGGUGCCAAGCCUGGAGGCCACUCCAAAGUCUCUUCCCCUCUCUUGAAGCAGCGAUCUCUUUCCAUCUCUCUCUCUCUCCCCCUGUGUGUGUGUUUCUCUCUCUCUCUCUCUUUCUCUCUCCCCCUCCACAUACACUCAUCUCCCCGGAGAGAGAGAGGGGAGAAACUCAACUCCGAAACACCGGCCAGAUGUCGAAGAAACGCAAAACCCUGGAGGGUGGAAGAUCCGGGAUCCCCCAGGAGGAAGCCAGAGCCCCCUUUGGGGCCAGCGAGGAGCAAGAUACAUCUGUUUGCUUGUUGUCACAUUGUGGAGUGAGCAGCCGUUGUUUCAUUGGCCCUUUUGCUACCACCAUCCGUGAGAAGAACGCACAAGAGAAGGCUACAUGGAAGCAUAAACACUGCAUGAAUUAUUACCACUGUGCACAGUCUAAAUGCACUCAUCUAGUGACACAGGCCCCAGUGUUAAACUGAAUACAAUUGUGGCAAAGGUCUGUUAGUGUAUUAUUUAUUCAACUGGAUGUAUAGAUAUUUCUGUUCUUUUCCCUGUAGUGAUGGAGGCUGAUAGCUGAUUCCUUCUGUACUGAGUAUGACUAUGACCAAGUUAUUUCCUAACAUCCUAGUUCAAAGAGAUGUCUUUGGCUGCAAGCUGCACGGGCAGUGGGAUUUUGGCAAGGUCUUAUCAGCUGGGAAAGUACCAUAUAUUUUGUAAUAUUGGGACCUUCACUGAGAGCAUUCUUCUCUCAACAGUUUUAGGAGGAAAUUGCUCUCAGCACAGAACUGGGAAUUGGAGUUCAGCAGGAAUGGUGGGGAGGUGGUUUCCAAGUACAGAAAGCAGGGCCUUGUCCAUCCUGGGUGUGGAAGGUAAGAUUGAAGUGUGGAGUAGCUAGUGUGGUAUGUUCACUGAAGAAACAAACUGAGACGCUACAGAGUGAGAAAAGUGUAUUUGAUAGACUCCCAUCAGAGUUCAUUUAAUAUUUAUUUUCAAACAUUAACUUUGGGGUAUCUCAACUAAUUGAAAAAGUGAGCUAAACAUCUAUUAUAUCCUCUGAGAGCUUUAAGAAGAAAGAACAGUUCUUUAAAAUGUGAUUUCAGAACCUGUGACUCUUAAGUGCUGGAAGUACACCAAUAAUACAGCUAAGAUGGUAGAUCAACAAAGUCUGCAAAACAUGGCCAGCGGGUUGGCAAAAUCUUCUGACAAGCUACCUUCAAUUUAACUAUAGUAAAGGACAAAAAAACUCACCCCAAAAUUGCCCAAGGUGCAAAACGACUGCAAUUCUCCUUCGACCAACUAAACAAAUGUGUAGGAGGAUUUCAAAAUCAGAAAUGGAACAAAGAAUAUCAGCACCUGAUUAGGCUCAUACAUCAAAGUUGCAUCUGUAAGAAGGAUAAGAAAUAGAAUAGUCUUUGGCCCAUGUUUAACCCAAAAUCUGCAGGGGACAAAAAGCUGAUGUUAAAUCCGACUAGACAGCCCAUACUGCAGAUGGGCCAAUGCAAAGCCUAAACCUGGCUGAACUUAAUGGAAAACAACACCCAAGAGCAAUGAGGCUGAAGAAAGCUUCUGUAAAUGAUGUGCAUGCAAUAUAAAUAACUCAGGAUUUGACUGAACACUAAAUCAGCUGAUGACUACUCUAGACUCUGGAGAUACCUGAGGUUUUUUAUUUUAUUUGAAUUUAUACAAAAAUAUAAAAGGGCUGCUUACUUAAGCUUCUGUGGCAGGUCUUCAUUUUUUUUCUUCAAAAUUAUUCAAUUGGUUUAAUUCAAAUUAUUUCUUGCUAUAAUGAUAUCUAGCAGAGUAUGCAAGAACGGUAUCUUUCAUAGCAAGAGUAAAUAUAAUUAAAAAUGUGUGAACAAACCUAGUAUUUGCCUAGUAUUUUCUUGUUAAUCCUCCUACUGUUAAGUAGGCUUUGGCUAAAUAAUUUAUCCUGUUAAAUUGAUACAUAUUACAGCAAGCCAGGGCUUGGCCAAAAGAAAAUGCUGCACUAACGCAAAUGAACUGCAAUGUUUCAUGAAUUCACUGUCUUCUAGUAGACACUAGAGGGCACAAAUUCUCUAGCAGUUGUGUUUUAUCUUUCAUCUUUGUCAAUAUGAAUGCUAAUAACAAUCUAACUAGAUCAGGCUUUUAAGAGGGACUAUAAAGCUUAAUUAGAAAUGCAUAGGAACGUUAACGAAAGUAUUCAUUUUAAAUACAUUUAUCAAGGUAGGUAGAGAGAUGGAUGUAUAUUCUAGGUGUAUAUAUAUCAUCCUUUAUAUUUGUAUAACAUGGACUUGUGUCUAUAUAUUAUAUAAAUGUCAUUAAUGUAUAUAACAUUUGCAGGUAGUGCAUACUCAUACACACAUGAUGAUGCAAUUUAAAGGUUUUUAGUCUGAACCAGUGAUGGCAACAUGACUCAUAGGUGAUUUAAACCACAAAUGAAUUAGGCAGUUCAAUCUAACUGAAUGUCAAAGAUUUAUACAGCAACAUAAUUUAUUUUGUAUAUAGUAUGCUAAAAAAUUGUUUUCUGAAAUAUGCUGGACAGUUUUAAACUUUUCUAUUUGGCCUCUUGUAUGUAUUUUUCUAACUGUAAAACCAGCUGCUUUGCUAGCAUUAGCUUAACUUCGCAGGAUUCUAAAUGAAGAAUUUGUUACUAAUCAAUUUAAUUUUAAUCUAAAACACACACACAAGUGUCACAACUUUAGACCCUGUCAACAAAGCAUUUAAACAUGUACUCAAGUCCCACUGGCUUCUAUGGGUUUAAAACACAACAUUAAAAUUAAGUACAUGCUAAUCUAUAUCUUGAGACCUGGUGGAGCUAGAAGAAAGUUUGCUUCCUUGGACAGCGUAAUGGUCUUGUUUCAAGUUGAGUUUGGAAUGUUAGCGGCAAUUUUGGAGGAGAUGGAUUUGUGAGCAGAGUGCAAUUUAUCAUAUAGGUAUCAAGUCAAAGAUCCACCCUGGUCCGGUGGCCCAUUGGACUAGCCUGGUUAAGUCAUGCCACAUUUUGCUGACCAGUGCCAUGUGGUGGUGAUGUAACUGAAAUCAUGCCCAUCUGCUGUCAACUCCCCAGCUCAAAAGACCAGAUGCCCAUUUACAACUGGAUUGACUGGGGGCUGACCUUCAGCACAAGUCCACAAUGACGCUCAGACUCAUACUGUGUACAGUGUAGUGAGAUGCCAUGACCACCUUGCAACCAUGUCCCCUCAGCUGGCUGUCACUCCCAAAGACUUGACUUUAUUUUGCUGUCUAUAAUCAAACCCUCUCUAAAGCUCUAUCCCCUGUGCCUUCACAGGUACACAAAAAAUCAUACAGUGAUCAAACAAACCAAGCAAACUCCUAUUAUAACCAGGAUGGGCAAUUAUUUUGGCUGGAGAGCCAUGUAGGGAGGUUUGGUGAGCUGUUCUGGGACGGGUCACGCUCUCCCUCCUCUCCUGCAUCAGCUCACCAAAACUCCUUAAGUGGUCCGAGGAUGCCAGAUGGAGUGUGUGGGUGGGGUGUCCAGGGAGACUGGCCCAGGACCCCUGCGGGCAAGGAGUGCCCAGCCGGGUGCAUGGAAUGAAGCUGUGAGCAGGUGGAAAGUGGCACCUGGGAGCGGGGCAGGUGGGCAGAGCUGGGGUCAGGCUGGGACAGUGGAAUGGUGACUGGGGUAGAGCCAUAAUCUGCUUCCUGCAUGGCCCUGUGAUCCCAGUGCUGGUCACCUGUCCUGCAGCCCCAUCCCAUGCACCUGGCCACAUGCCCUACCUGCAGAGGUCCCAGCUGGUCUCUAUGGAUUUUGCUGACCGGCUGGCCAUGUUUUGCAGAUUUUGCUAAUCUACCAUUUUAGCUGCAUACUCCAUCCAGUACCCACACAGUGGUAGGGGCAGGUUGGACAGGCUACGGUGCUCAGGCAGUGAAACUAGCAGUAGCAGUCGAAAGGAGCCAACACUGCCGAAACUGCCAGGAACGAGAGCCCGGCUGCUGAACAGUCCCAACCAGCUGUGCCCUGCACCUGGGCCAGGAGGGGCCAAGGGAUCCACUGCAGGCUAGAUAAAAUUGUUUGGGCCAGAUUAAGUCUACAGGCUGUAUUUUGCCCACCCCUGAAUUAUCAUUUCUGUAAUAACCCUGGUUCAGUUUUCUGCUCUACCACAGUUUUCCGCUGCAACCCUGGGCAUGUCAGUUAAUCUCAGUGCUUCACUUCCCCACUGCCAAAAUAGAGAACACUCUUAUGUCCAUCUCACAGAAUAAGAGUGUUGUUAGAGGUGCUCAGUUCCUGUGAUAAGGUGGGCCGUGCAGGUACUGUAAGUAUAAGAUGUACAGCCAUUGAUCUUUAGUCUCAUCCUUCCUCAGAGCUUCCCCCUCUUACAACUAGUUUGUUUGUUUGUUUGUUUGUUUGUUUGUUUGUUUUACUGUGCUGUGUUGGUUCUCGCUGCUCAGACCUGAUGGAUGUCUUGCAGUCAAACUUAGCUAACUCUAUUCCAGCUAUACAGUUGGUCCCAUAAAAGGUAUCACCAUUAGAAAUCCUUGCAUCUUGCAUAAUUCCUAGACCAUCGCAGCUACGUCACUCUAACUGCCAAAAGCUCAAAGAAAGAGAUAGGGCCCAGAAGGUGGGGAGAGGACUUUAAACUCUGGGGCAAGGAGUGUGGCUUACUGUGUUUUUGUACAGUAUUGAGCACAACUGGGGCUGAUCUGGUUCACAGAGUGGCCCAUCCCAGACAAUUUUUAUUAUUGACAAGCUACAAAAUGUUUACUGACAACCAAAUUUUUUUAUUGAUAUAUGUUUUCCCUUCUGUCAGACUCUAGACUAGGGCUAGGUUCAAACCAUAGUAAAAAAAAAUGUUUGGAGAUUAUUGGUAGAAAAAAAUUGAGUUUGUUGGUAACCCUACUUGAUUGCAGCAUUGGGUUUACUCCGUGUUGCUGCCCUCCUUCCCCGUCCCCCCCGCAGGGGUCUCAUGCUCACCCAGAUCACACGCUGCACCAUACUGCUUCCCCCCAUCCCAACACAGAACCCCAAAGAAGAUCUACUGCCUGUAUACCUGCCACCCAGCAGUCUUAAAGGCAGAUGGGAAGCAGCACCAGUACACAAAGCUCUGACAAGGUGCUGCACUCUGGCUUGGAUAACAUUGGUGCUACUGUUCUGUCUGAACUACAAUGGUGCAUCCAGCUUGUUUUCUGAACGUGGAGCUUUGCUGGAUGUGUGGAGCUGUUGUUGUGGAGCUGUUUUUGCUUGGUGAUUUAUGGACAGUACAAUUUUCUUACAGAAUUUAAAGACAGCUGUAUUUAGCCUGGUUAUUUACAGUGUCCAUACAUUUACAAACAGUUGGCAACCCUGCUGGUUGGGAACUUUAGGUGCUCCUAUAAUAUAAAUAUUACAGGCUGUUCUGGAGCAAGGCCAUAGGAAUUCCUAAGUCAAGAGGCACUCGUGAGAUUGGAGCAUUGGAAGAUUUCUCCAAUGAGCCUUUGCUGCUCUCAACAGUUACAAAAUAUAAAGGGGAGCAUUUUUUUCUGGCAAAUGGUGUCACAGGUGGGACUUCAGCAAUCAGAACCAGCAUCCUGAAUUCUCCCAAGAAGUCAGCUAGUUGCUAGUGAAAGGCUAAAGCACGUACCCCUGAUGACAGAUCCUACUCGGGAAGCAAGCAGCUAUGUUCUGCACAGUUCUUUUCUAUGGUCUUCAUCCACUUGUGGAGCUAGUUGCAAAGGAUGAUGGUUGCAAAGAGAAUUGUUUAUCAUUGUGAUCACUACUCCUCUGAACCAGCAUUUGCUUCUGACCAGAUCACAGUUGUGAAUCAAAUGAUGGGCAGGUGCUUAUCCACAGAGAAGGGAGAUGUAGUCUUCAACUUGAACUUCUGAUUGUUCAUCCCAACUGUCCUGAUUAACACAGAACUCCCCAGAAAUCUGAGCCCCAAAUCUUACUUAGAUCAUAAUUGAUAAGUUUAUGGGUCUCUCUCUAACAAUUUUUUGUGCCCACUUGAAAAAAAAAUGUAACGGUGCAACUUUAUUUUCACUUGGAUCAACACUGUUAUUAAAAUCUGUUGUUGGCCUCUUGUGUUUUCCUGAGUGUUGAGUGAUUUGGAUAGUGGUAGUAGGGAUUGCGCUGUGUUGAGUAUAGCUGCAAAGAGUUAGCUGAACUAUGUCUGACUGACUUAUGCUAGUAGCAAUUAUAAUGAUUCUUCAUUUUUGUAAAAUCUAAUGCCUUUCACUGUAAUGGAGAAUCGGAAAUCAAGUAAGAAACACAGAAGUAACUGUUCCUAUGACCACAGAGACAUCUGAAAGAACAGUGUUUGAAAGGCUAAAGAACCAAAGUGAGAAUGGAAUAUUGGUUACUUGCAGGCGCUUUGCUUUUCUUCUUCCAAAUCUACCUACCACAUUAAUGGCUUGAUUUAAAUCAAGAGAGGCAGAGAUUUAUGAAGGAGCAGAGAUUAAAAUAGCUGAGCUUUGUCAGGCAUCAGAUAUUAAAGAUGCUGAUUGUAUAAACUCAGUGUGAUUAGUCAGAAAAGCAGCUGUAAAAAGGCUGCUGUGUGUUGCACUUAUUGGCUUUUUGAUAAGAUUCAUCCAGGAGGUAAUGGGCUGAGAGAUACUUUAAUGUUAGUGGGAGUAAUUGCUAUUAAUCAAUAAUGCUUUUGAAUUUUAAUGAGUACUACUUAUGCUUUGAAGAGCCACCUACUUUCUGCACCCUGGCUCUCCUAUUCCAAAUUCUUUCUUUUUUGAACUUACUUCCUGUUGCAUUGAAGGGAAGGAAUCUUUUUAAUCAACAGUAGUGUAGAUUGCAACUCUGGAUGCUUUUUAACAUUGAGGGGCUUUUUGUGCUCUCUAAAGUACUUCUAAAUGAAUAAAUGCAUGUAAGUCAAAUAUGUGAAGGGUGGUUAUAAAGAGUUUGACGAUAGAUUAUACUCUGUGGCCUCAGGGGAUAGGACAAAAAGUAAUGGUCUCAUAUUGCAACAAGAGAGAUUUAGGUUGGAUAUUAGGAGAGCUUUCUUGCUAUGAAGGUGGUUAAGCAUUGGAGCAGAUUAUUUAGAGAGUUUAUGAAAUCUCCAUCUGUGGAAGUGUUUAAGAAAAGAUUCGACAAACACUUAUCUUGAAAGGUUUAGACUGGUUGUUCUCAACAUUUUUAGACUCAAAGCGCCCCUUGCUGGAUUCAAGUUUCCUCUUGUUAGGCAUGAGGCAGCCCUCAGAAUAUGCCAGCUCUUCGGUUUCACUCAUUUUUUACUAUGGAAAAACAAUAGCAAUUUUUUUGCUGCAAAGUAUCCAGAAAGAUCAUAACAGGUCAGAAUGUUUUUAACACUGUGGGUUCCUAUUUGAAAUCUCUGGUUUUAUCUUAUUAAUUACAUUUGCCCACCCAACAGUGUUAACAUUGUGCAGUACCCCACAGCACCCUUGAAAGAAUCUCAAGGCACCUCAGGGGGUUGGUAGGCAGGGAAGAUCCUGCCUUGACAAGAAUGUUGGACUGGACGAACUCAUGAGUUGCCUUCCAGCCAUAUUUUUCUCUCUCUUUAAAUCCUCCUUGGAAUUCUAAUUUUCCAGGAGCCUGAUUCUGUGAGGCAUCAAAUGCCCUCAAUUUCCACUGCAAUGCAAGCAUUAACUUUGGGUGGAGGGGGUGGAAGGCAAUAAGGACAAUCAUAGGGUUUUAAAUUGUUUUGUCUGCAUUUUCAGUGCUUUGUGUUGUCAUCUGAAAAAUGACCACUUGGCUACUUUAUACAUGUGAGGAUCUAAAAACCAAAUAAAAAACUCUCUCUCAGAUAGUAUUUCAGUAUUAAUCUCUUCUCUGACUAUCCAGUCACUUGAAAUUAAGCUGUUGGCCUGUGUUUUAUACAUGUCUUUGGGUGUAAGCAGUAGGGCACUAAGUGUCUGGCAUGUAUCUGUGAAUCACUUUGUAAAUUAAUGAUUUAG